rnacentral:snRNA from 1 species
GUAUAUAUCUCCUUCACACGCCGUAGGAAACUUUCGCCUUUUACUGAAGAUUCCCGUGAAGGGGAAUUGGUGAAUCUUUGUGCCUAAUUGUUUUUUGACGAAAGUUGGGUCGUUA